AACGUACGCUGGCGGCACGCCUAACACAUGCAAGUCGAACGAGAAUUUUCUCUUCGGGGAAAUAGUAAAGUGGCGCAAGGGUGAGUAACACGUGAAUAAUCUGCCUACGAAUUCGGGAUAACGCGGCGAAAGCUGUGCUAAUACCGGAUAAGACCACAUCUCUUAAGGGGUGUGGCCAAAGGAACCUCAAGUUCCGUUUGUAGAUGAGUUCGCGAACCAUUAGCUUGUUGGCGGGAUAACAGCCCACCAAGGCUACGAUGGUUAGCCGGCCUGAGAGGGUGAUCGGCCACACUGGAACUGAGACACGGUCCAGACUCCUACGGGAGGCAGCAGUGGGGGAAUAUUGCGCAAUGGGCGAAAGCCUGAUCCAGCCAUGCCGCGUGCAGGAUG
rnacentral:rRNA from 1 species